CACUACCAGAAGGGUCAUCAAACUACCCCUGGAAAUGCCCAAAACUCUUACGAAAGCCUUGUUAAAUAUGUGUUUCUAGGUUCACAGUACAGAAGAAGGGUCACACUACCAGAAGGGUCAUCAAACUACCCCUGGAAAUGCCCAAAACUCUUACGAAAGCCUUGUUAAAUAUGUGUUUCUAGGUUCACAGUACAGAAGAAGGGUCACACUACCAGAAGGGUCAUCAAACUACCCCUGGAAAUGCCCAAAACUCUUACGAAAGCCUUGUCAAAUGCGUGUUUCUAGGUUCACAGUACAGAAGAUGGGUCACACUACCAGAAGGGUCAUGAAACUACCCCUGGAAAUGCCCAAAACUCUUACGAAAGCCUUGUUAAAUAUGUGUUUCUAGGUUCACAGUACAGAAGAAGGGUCACACUACCAGAAGGGUCAUCAAACUACCCCUGGAAAUGCCCAAAACUCUUACGAAAGCCUUGUUAAAUAUGUGUUUCUAGGUUCACAGUACAGAAGAAGGGUCACACUACCAGAAGGGUCAUCAAACUACCCCUGGAAAUGCCCAAAACUCUUACGAAAGCCUUGUUAAAUAUGUGUUUCUAGGUUCACAGUACAGAAGAAGGGUCACACUACCAGAAGGGUCAUCAAACUACCCCUGGAAAUGCCCAAAACUCUUACGAAAGCCUUGUUAAAUAUGUGUUUCUAGGUUCACAGUACAGAAGAAGGGUCACACUACCAGAAGGGUCAUCAAACUACCCCUGGAAAUGCCCAAAACUCUUACGAAAGCCUUGUUAAAUAUGUGUUUCUAGGUUCACAGUACAGAAGAAGGGUCACACUACCAGAAGGGUCAUCAAACUACCCCUGGAAAUGCCCAAAACUCUUACGAAAGCCUUGUCAAAUGCGUGUUUCUAGGUUCACAGUACAGAAGAAGGGUCACACUACCAGAAGGGUCAUCAAACUACCCCUGGAAAUGCCCAAAACUCUUACGAAAGCCUUGUUAAAUAUGUGUUUCUAGGUUCACAGUACAGAAGAAGGGUCACACUACCAGAAGGGUCAUCAAACUACCCCUGGAAAUGCCCAAAACUCUUACGAAAGCCUUGUCAAAUGCGUGUUUCUAGGUUCACAGUACAGAAGAAGGGUCACACUACCAGAAGGGUCAUCAAACUACCCCUGGAAAUGCCCAAAACUCUUACGAAAGCCUUGUCAAAUAUGUGUUUCUAGGUUCACAGUACAGAAGAUGGGUCACACUACCAGAAGGGUCAUCAAACUACCCCUGGAAAUGCCCAAAACUCCUACGAAAGCCUUGUCAAAUAUGUGUUUCUAGGUUCACAGUACAGAAGGGUCAUCAAACUACCCCUGGAAAUGCCCAAAACUCCUACGAAAGCCUUGUCAAAUAUGUGUUUCUAGGUUCACAGUACAGAAGAAGGGUCACACUACCAGAAGGGUCAUCAAACUACCCCUGGAAAUGCCCAAAACUCUUACGAAAGCCUUGUCAAAUAUGUGUUUCUAGGUUCACAGUACAGAAGAAGGGUCACACUACCAGAAGGGUCAUCAAACUACCCCUGGAAAUGCCCAAAACUCUUACGAAAGCCUUGUCAAAUAUGUGUUUCUAGGUUCACAGUACAGAAGAUGGGUCACACUACCAGAAGGGUCAUGAAACUACCCCUGGAAAUGCCCAAAACUUUUACAAAAGCCUUGUCAAAUAUGUGUUUCUAGGUUCACGGUACAGAAGAAGGG